GAGAAAGAUGUAAAAAUUCGAGAAUUGACUGUUGAGCUACAAAGAGAGCGAAAGUGAUCUGCAGCUUACCAACAACAACUUGACAUGGUUUUGAUAGAGAUGGAAGAGCAUUCCAAUCACCUAUCAAGAAGCAUUGAGAACAUAGUGCAAAGUGUGAGAGAUAUCGAAUCAAAAAGGUGACUAGGGAGUGUUGUAGUUCUUGGUGGGAGAAUUUGAAGAACCUCACAGUAUUAGUUUUCUGGCCCUUGCCUAGCAAUAUUUCUUCUUACAAGGUAUUUCCUUUUGUUCUCAAGUUCAGAUUGUGGUUUCAUUGUUUAGUGAUCAGAAUUAUACUUUAUGAUAUUCCCCUGUUAAACAUUAUUACUACGGUUUUGUUUAUCUUUGCAUCUGAAUCUGGUUUGUUGGGUCUCAUAGCAAAGGAAAAAAAAAAUGAAUAGAUUUAUGAUUUCAAAUUCUGACCAUGUGAAGUGAUCUUCAGAUGAGUUUAUUGAGGUACAAAAGAUGAAUAUCAUUGUUAAGAAAUAUGAUUUCAGAGGCUGCUUUUAAUAAAAAAAAAAAAAAAAAAAAAAAA